AACGAACGCUGGCGGCAUGCCUAACACAUGCAAGUCGAACGAGACCUUCGGGUCUAGUGGCGCACGGGUGCGUAACGCGUGGGAACCUGCCCUUAGGUUCGGAAUAACUCCCCGACAGGGGUGCUAAUACCGGAUAAUGUCUUCGGACCAAAGAUUUAUCGCCUUUGGAUGGGCCCGCGUUGGAUUAGCUAGUUGGUAGGGUAAAAGCCUCCCAAGGCGACGAUCCAUAGCUGGUCUGAGAGGAUGAUCAGCCACACUGGGACUGAGACACGGCCCAGACUCCUACGGGAGGCAGCAGUGGGGAAUAUUGGACAAUGGGCGAAAGCCUGAUCCAGCAAUGCCGCGUGAGUGAUGAAGGCCUUAGGGUUGUAAAGCUCUUUUACCCGGGAUGAUAAUGACAGUACCGGGAGAAUAAGCUCCGGCUAACUCCGUG
rnacentral:rRNA from 1 species